CCGGGCGGCCGUAGCGCGGUGGUCCCACCUGACCCCAUGCCGAACUCAGAAGCGAAACCGCAGCGCCGAUGGUGCAGUGUGGGGUUUCCCAUGCGAGAGAGGGAACUGCCGUGC
rnacentral:rRNA from 1 species